UUAAUAUUCAUUAGGUUGCUAUAGAAGGUGUGGUGAACAAAGUACUAUCAGAGCCAAUUCGUCCUCACUUUGCCAUUGCUUAUGCUGGUCCUUUUUUCGGUUUGCAAGAGGGUCACCAACUCAUUACUGCAAAACUAGGCUCCAAGGUUCCGGUCGUGACUAAUCGACCUGCUGGAAUUAUUGGAAGAGAUGAGUUUUAUAAUGAAUUCAAAGAGAUUUGGUGGAAACGUAGUGAUAUCGACGGCUACCGUGACGACGACGACUAUGACGAGGAGGAGGAGGAGGAUGAUGAUGUUGACUAUGAUAGUGCAAAUACAACAAUCAUGUUAAUCGUUGGAUUUCUACCAGGAAUAAAAGUCAGAACAAUCCCACUCGUAAAGCAACUCGGGGAAUACAAAUUUGUAACAGACAUUAGGGAGUUCUCAACUUCUAUUUCUGGAUGUAAUUCCCCUGCUGCCAUAAUAAUGUUCGGUGUAAGCGGUUCCUCAUGUAACUUUUCAUUUUUUUUGCACAAGAUUGUUUUCUUAUUAUACGUGAACUGGCCGAAUUACAUCAAUAUCGCAGGUAAGUGAGCAACAAGCUGCGCCGCUACCCCUUUCUGAAUAGCAAACCCUAGCCUAUUAAAGACAAACCCCUGCCCCCUGUUGAUUAGCAACUGCUGUGGACAACCUUUUGGACCCUAGUCAACAAACGGACAACCUUGUUAUGCUGACUUACUAUAACUUAUUCUACCCUUCUAUUUAUGUCCUUGAUUUUAGAUUAUUUCAUGUCACCGGAAACAGUCAUUGUUGGCGAUUGUUUCUCGCGGUUCCAUUUUACUAAUGGAAGCUCAAGGAACAUAACCGUUAUUCAAGAAUAUGUUUCUGCUGUUGCCUUGGUAUUUGUCGUGGACAAGAACAAACCUCUUGGUAUCAGAGAAACUCAAUUUCAUGCUGUAUUAUCAAGUGGACUGGUACCUGUAGGCUCGGUGUAUGCAGCAUCUGUUAAAAAGAGUAGGCGUUAUUCGAUUGAGCUCACUGAAAGAAGUGAGAAUCUUUAUGGUGGCAGAAUGUUUAGGCAAGCUUAUGAGGAAGUAUGAAAUUCUUUACCUGUAGUUAACACGUUGUUUGACCAUGUUGACUUUUUUUGCUGAUGUGGUACGGACAUGGUGCUCAGUGACGGAUUCAGGAAUUUUUUCCACUAGGUUCCUUUUAGUAGAUUUUCACUAAUUCUCACAAUUUUUUUUAAAUCAUA